GAUGAAGAACGUAGCGGAAUGCGAUAAGUAAUGUGAAUUGCAGAAUUCAGUGAAUCAUCGAAUCUUUGAACGCAACUUGCGCCCUCUGGUAUUCCGGAGGGCAUGCCUGUUUGAGUGUCAUGUAGACUCAAUCCCUCGGGUUUCUGAGGAGGUUGGAUUUGGGUGCUUGCCUUCUGGCUCGCCUUAAAGGACUUAGCAGGAUAGCACUGUAGUCGACGUAAUAAGUCUCGUCGGUGAAAGUGUGAUGUCUGCUUACAGAUUGCCCUUGGGCACUUUUGACUCUGACCUCAAAUCAGGUAGGACUACCCGCUGAACUUAAGCAUAUCAAUAAGCGGAGGA
rnacentral:misc_RNA from 1 species